rnacentral:tRNA from 1 species
GGAAGGCCGAGUAGGGAAGCGCGUUUCAAACCACUACUGAGCCUCUGGUAAUGCGGGGGUCAUCGCGGUCUUCGGGGGUUCAAAUCCCCUCGUCUCCACCA